rnacentral:lncRNA from 1 species
AUGUCAGUUUGUAGGGUUUCCUUGGGUCUUCCAGGGCAGCACAGGUUUGAGGUGGGUACAACUUCGGUCUCGGUUCCAUCCUUCGAUGUAUUGACAUUUAUGCAGUCAGGUUCCACCCCACGGCCAGAGGCCCCUAGGCACAUCCUUUGGCCAUUUUCCCUGGGAAAGAAAACUCACCAGUUCAGGUUCCUGAUGUCAGUUUGUAAGGCUCCCUUGGGUCUAUCAGGGCAGCACAAGUUUGAGGUGGGGACAACUUCGGUCUGGGGUCCAUCCUUCGAUAUAAGGAUUUUUGGCAGUCAGGUGCCAGCCCAGGGCCAGGGGCCACUAGGCACAUCGUUUGGCCAUUUUCCCUGGGAAAGAAAACUCACAAAUCCAGGUUCCUGAUGUCAGUUUGUAGGGCUCCCUUGGGUCGAUCAAGGCAGCAAAAGUUUGAGGUGGGGACAAUUUCGGUUGGGGGUCGAUCGUUUGAUAAAUGGAGUUUUUGGAGUCAGGUGCCAGCCCAGGGCCAGGGGCCCCUAGGCACAUGCUUUGGCAAAUUUCCCUGGGAAAGAAAACUCACCAGUUCAGGUUCCUGAUAUCAGUUUGUAGGACUUCCAUGGGUCUAUCCGGGCAGUACAAGUUUGAGGUGGGGACAACUUCGGUCUCGGUUCCAUCCUUCGAUGUAUUGACUUUUAUGCAGUCAGGUCCCACCCCACGGCCAGAUGCCCCUAGGAACAUCCUUUGGCCAUUUUCCCUGGGAAAGAAAACAUAAAACUUCAAGUCCCUGUUGUCAGUUUGUAGGGCUCCCUUGAGUCUAUCAGGGCAGCACAAGUUUGAGGUGGGGGCCAAUUUAGUCUGGGGCACAUCCUUUGAUGUAUGGACUUUUUGCAGUCAGGUCCCAGGCCAUGGCCUGGGCCCCUGGGCACAUCCUUUGGCCAUUUUCCCCGGGAAAAAAAACUCACCAGUCCAGGUUGCUGAUGUCAGUUUGUCGGGCUCCCUUGGGUCUAUCAGGGCAGCACAAUUUUGAGGAGGGGACAGCUUCAGUCUUGGGUCCAUCCUUCGAUAUAAGUAUUUUUGGCAGUGAGGUGCCAGCCCAGGGCCAGGGGCUCCUGGGCAAAAUCGUUGGCCAUUUUCCCUGGGAAAGAAAACUCACCAGUCCAGGUUCCUGAUGUCAGUUUGUAGGGCUCCCUUGGGUCUAUCAGGGCACCACAAGUUUGAGGUGGGGACAACUUCGGUCUUGGGUCCAUCCUUCGAUAUAAG